UCGGUGAGGCGGGGCCCAGGCGAGCUUGUCACGUGCCCAGCUCUCACUUCCGGGCUUGGGGUGACACUCCUUGGGCUGCGAGGCCGUGGCUCUGGGUUCCUGGGGAAGGAAACUGAAGUUCGCUGAGAGUGGUGCCUUAUGAUAGUAAGGCAAGUAGACAACCACGAGAACAAACCUUUUUUCCCUUCGUUGAUUCAACCAAAGUUAUUGUGUUCCUGAUCAACUAUGGCCCCUUCGAUCUCACUUUGAGUGACAAAGUCCAGUACCUAUCCCCUUAUCCGAUGGCCCCCAAAGAUGACUCCUUGCCCCAGGCCAUGGGACAACUGAUGCUACAUUUUGGAUGGACCUGGGUGGGACUUGCUGCUUCAGAUUAUAUGUGAGCUGAAUUGUUUCCCUGAUUGGAGAGGAGAAAUGGUCAAGAAAGGGAUCUGUGUUGCCUUUUCAGAGACUAUCUCUCUCAGUGAGAAAUACCACAAGGAAGCCUUUGAUAAUCCAUUGAUCAGAGUAGCAUAACCAACAGCUACAGUGGUUGUCAUUCAUAGAGAUACAGAUUCCCUGGUGACCAUGAGACCUCCACGGCCCAGGAUGCAAGAAUAGCAAAGGUGUGGAUCAUCUCCCCUUACUGGGAUGUUAUUCUGAGGCCCAUGUUUCAGAAUGGUUAUGGUUUUCAUGGGUCUGUGAUAUUUUCUCAUCAAAGAAGAGAUCAUCCUGAAUUUGGGACAUUCCUCAGGAGAGUCCAAUCUUCUACAUACCCAGGGAACAUUUUUCAUAAGAGUUUCUGGCACUCAGCUUUUGAGUGCUCAGAGGUUGGUGGUACCACUGGAACAAUACAAAUGAUCCCAGAAUGCUUUUUGGACAUGCUUCCCCUACAGUAUUUUGAAGUGACCAUGUCUGCACAUAGUUACAUUGUCUACAGUGCUGUGCAUGCUGUGGCCUGGGCUCUGCCUGGCAUGUUCCUGAUCAGAUCAGAAGCAGGAUCAAUAGAAGGCAGAGCCCCUGUGGUGUCUAAUCUCUGGAAGAUAAGAUUUCCUCUGAAAGCCAUCCAUUGGAGUCAGAGUUGUCCAGAAUGACAGGACCAACUGAACAUAUACAUAAAGAGAGAUUUAUUGCACAUAAAGAUAUUUAAUUAAAGGAUAUGAUUCCACAACCAGCCAUCUACAGGAUGGAGAUCUGGGAAAGCCAGUGGUGUAAUUCAGAGAACCAGAGGGCUGGUGAUGUAAGUCCCAGUCUGAGGAAAGGAGAAGACUAAUGUCCUAGAUCAAGCACUCAGGCAGAGUGAGUAGGUUCUCCCUUCCUCUACCUUUUUGUUCUAUUCAGGCCCUCAAUGAGUUAGAUGAUGCCCAUCCACACUGGGGAGGGCCAUCUGUUUUACUCAGUCCAUUGAUUGAAUUGUUAAUGUCUUUUGUAUCCUGCAAUUUUGCUGAAUUCAUUUAUUCUAAC